CUCUUAUCAGUAUACUGUUCUAUUACCGCUGGAAACGUCGGAAACCUGUAUGGUGACACCCUCCAUUUCCGUCCCCUCCCCGAUAUUCUUCGAUCACGACAUAGGAUUUUUUUGAAAGAGGAACACACGUUAAGAAAAUUUUGAAAACAUUUUUUAAAUCAUUCAUUUUUUUUCUCUAUAAAGAUAUCUUCAUAUGGAUACGUUCAGGUGUUAUUCCCAUCUACGAUGGAUCUGGGAUAAGAAUUUGCGGUGUCCGGCCUUCCAACAUAUCAUGAAGUAGAAUACCAAUUUCCUUAAAACAAUUUUUUCAUUAUUAGAAAGAGAAAGUUGUACAUUAAUAACACAUCGAAAGUAUUUCAACAGGGACUGAAAAUAACUUAAUCGAUAAAACAUUCGCAAAGUGAACGAGAGUUCUGUAUUUUUCUACGACGUACAAGGUCAUUAACACUUAUGUCAUCGCCGAUGAGAGAAGUAGAUAACACAGCACUCGGCGAGCUCGAAGUUUCGAUCCUCCGCUUCCAGAAACCGAG